UUGCUAGAUUGUAAUCAGUCUUGGUGCUCCGUGACUAGAUUAUUUUCCUCGCUGAAACGUGGAAUGAUGAUUAUUUUAAUAAUGCUAAAUAAAACCUUCACUGGAUUUUGAAUAGGUAAAUUGGUUUGACCAUUGCUCACUAUGAAGAAAGUAUUUUCUCUGGGCCUCAGGGCCUUGUACUGAUGGCUGCUUUCCAAAUUUUUGAUAGAACUAGAAUAACCUGUCACUAUGGCUACCAGAAUUUAAAUUUACUGUUAUUAGAGGGAAGCUUACGAAUUCCCAAGCCACUCUGAAGUUGAAUCCAUGAACUAAAUCCGUAACUGCUCCCAUAGGAGCUGGGGAAGAAGCCCUGCAGAUUUCAGUGUUAUUCUCCCAUGUCAGGUUAGUGGAUUGGAUAACUUGACAGUCAUUUUUUUCUUUAAAAAAGAAAAUGAUUUAAUAUGUAGAGCAAUGCUGAUCUUUUUGUUUUCCUUUAUAGUAUAAUUUCUCUCUAAGCUAUUGUCUAGAGUGCUGCUGGAAUUCUUUAUACAAGGCAGAUAAUGUGUUUCUUCUGUGUAAGAGCUCACCAUGGACCUCUAAGGGCCUGAAAGUGCCAGUCUGGCUGCCUAACCUGGCCUUUAAGGUCUCCGAUCUGGCCCUGGGUGUGCCCCUGCAGUUCCUUUGGCCCGUCACCCUUGUGGACCUCUUGAACACUAGUCAUAUGGAACUAUUAUUGAUGGCUGCUGGCUGCACCAUCAGGUCACACUGCCGUGUCCUUGCCUAUUCUGAUAUGGGUCUCCAGGACCACCUGGUUCCCUCUGUCUACCUUUCAGUUCUGGGAAGUUUGUUUUUCCACACUAGUCUGGCAAUUCUGCCAGGAUGGCCUGUGUCUUACUUACAUCUGUCUUUCAGGUCAAGCACAGCGCACUCAAUAAUGUUUAAAAUCAAAGAUGAAGGUCACUCACUCAUUCUCUUUAGUUAAGAGAUUAGAACAUUGGAGAGAAUCUUGCCCAGUAAGAUUUUUUUCUAGAUAAAUUAUUUGUAGAGAGAGAUUAGAAACCUUUGACUACAUUUUGUGUUUUUAUGAGUACCAAAUGUACUUGAGUUCCAGAUACUAGUUUAGGAGCUAUAAAUGUGUUAGUUAGCUUUAUUAUCAUAACAACUAGUUGGGGUAGAUUUUUAUAUACAUUUUAAAGGAAUUGAGUAAAGAGAUUCCGAAAAGGUAGGGGGAGUUUGCACAAGCCCCCAGAUAGUAAAUAGAAAAUUACGUGUUUUUAAAGGCCACAUGACACCCGAAACUAGAUUAUAUAGACUGUAUUAUAGUUUAGAGAAAUGAUCCAUUUUGAUUUUUAAAGGUUUUACUAUGUAGUCAUAUUACCUUCCCCCAUUGUUCUGUUUAAAUGUUAUGUCUAUUUGUGGACAAUCUGUAAUAGAGCAAUAAUGAUAUCUAAGUCCAUUUUUCUCAGAAUGAUGCCAGUCUUCAAAAUAAAAAUAUUUGUACUGUUUUUAUAACAUGCGUCUGAAUCUUUUCUUAGAAUAACAAUAGAUGACCAUUACAAUCUCAUUUUUAUGGAAUAUUUUCCUGCAUCUGAGCAGUUCAAAGUGUUAGGCAAUGCAGUUGACCAUAGACUCUAGCUCCUUACCUGUAAAACUACUGUACUUCAGGUAAGUUCUCCUGUUCUUUAUUUGCCGCAUAUUUUCAAUUUACAAUUAAGGAAAAUGAUGAAAACAUCUCGAAUAUUUUUUACACCCCCAAGUAUUAAAUGCAAAAAUGUGUGUAUUUUGUAAUGAGGAGUGUGAACUGUAGGACAUAAAUCAGACUUGAGCUUUAACCACUUCAGUUUCCUUCAGAUACUGAGGAUAAAGAUGGUCCCUGUCUUGCGUGCCGGUUAGGAUGAGUGAAUGAGUUAAUAUCUACAAAAUGUUUAGGACAAAAUCCGUCCAAAAGUAGAAGCUAAAUAAAUGUUCAUUAUGAUGACUGAGGAUUUUUUUCUUUACAACUUUGUUUUUAACAUGAAGUGUUUUCAGAAAUCGAGUCAAUUCACAUUUCGUAUUUACAUUGAAUAAAUGAGUAGGAUAGGGAAGACCAUUCUUAGAAAACAAGCUCUGGGGUUACUGUCUCAUUCCUUCUCCUCCCCAACAUAUUUCUACCAAUCCUGGCCCCCCUUUUAAGAAGACAAAUUAACGAAUAAAAUAGGCUGUUUGAAUCGUACUCUUUUCUACCCCUCUCUUCCUUGGAUUCACUGCUGGCAGAUGCUAGUUUUUACAGUCAAUAUUAAUAGAGUGGUGGCAGCCCCUUUUUCAUUCUAGUAGGUACUUUGCAACUAUUGGUUAAAUGAAUCGGUGACUGUACAGUAAUGUGCCAGGUUUCUGGCUUCUUGACCUUCAGAGAAAGGAACUUACAGAGUUUUCUCAUACUUCAUAUACUGAAACAUAAAUAUUAAAGUAGAAGUCUCUCCCCAAACAAGAAGUCCUUAAUAUCUAUGUUACAACUAUGUCAUUUGCCUGAUAAAGUAGACAUAAAGAUAUUAGAAUUUAAAUCCCAGCUAACUUUUAAAGUAACUAUAUGUGUAUCUGAUACUGCUUUCAAAUAAUUACCUUAAAAUUUCAGAGGCAGCCCAGUGAACAGGCGGUGUGUGUUCUGUAAUACGAGCACUGGAGGACAUAGCAACCUGCCCGAGACAGUGCCCUGCAGAACCCCGGUCAGGACUGCACCGAGACUGGGAUUGCAGUCAAGUUCGAAUGCAGUCCCUGGGCAGGAUUUCACGCCCCAGCCUUGAACUACAUGCAGCAAUUACUUUAUAUCUUUUAAUGAGUCAUACUUUAGUCAUUCUUAGUCAGUGAAGUUGAAAAGACAAGAAAUAUUGGAGAGAUUAAUGUAGUGAUUUAAUGCUAAUCAUUGUCUUCUCCAUUACAUACUGAAAUACGGAGUAGCAAUGGUAGAGAAAUACUGAGUAAAUAUGGCAGUGCAUCAGAGCACUUAACCCCUUGGAUUUGGGAGAAAAGGUGGAAAGGCUUUUUGGAACUCUGCCCUUGGCUGAUAUUUAGGAAAACGACUAAUUGUCCCUUUUAUUUAUUUCAAAGUCGAGAGGUCUUUGCAAGUGUAAAUAUGGAUGCUGACAAAGUUUGGUAACACAUGGUUAAUUUGUGUUCUGAAAACCGGGAUAAAGGGGUAGUGUCUCUUUUUUUUUCUGAGAUUAAUGCCUGCUGUAAAUUUUGGCAGCAAUAGUUUAUUGCAGUAAGAUCAGUUCAAACAUAUUCAGGCUUAGUUUGAAUGAAAAUUGAGUUUGACUAAAGAAAAUUAUGUCCUUCUAAAUGAAAAUGAGCAGAUGUACAAAACGAACCUUAAAAUUAAUCUUGGAUUUACCCCUUCCUGCAUGCAUCAUUUCACAGAGAUAUGGAAAGUGACAAGGUGGGUGGGGGAGGCUGCUGCAUAUUCAGAGUUUAAAAAAAUCACUGCAGACCUAUUUGGGGGGCUUCAAAGGAGCAACUAUUAAGGAGAUGAAAUUGCUUUUCUGCUUAGAAAUAUGCAAAGAAAAUAUUCCUCUUCUCAAAAUCAUUUUACCUUUAACUUCUUACUACAUCAUUUUAAAAACUGUGAGUUCUUUGAAUUUAACACAAGUUUUAUUUCCCUGCCUGUUGUCUAACUGAAUGCUGUCUACUAUUUUAAUCAUGUUAAUCUACCACUUAGUGUAAAGCGCUGCUCUGUGCCUGCUGGAGAACAAAAGUGCUUUCUGCUCUUCCUUCUUCAGUGCACUGGCCUUCACAUCGGGCAUGGUCCCGCAGCAGCUAGGAGUUUUCCUACUAGCUGAUCAAUACAGUCAGAACCCUUUAUUUAGUGAGAUCAAUGCCAUGUAAUGAAGUCUGUGUUCCAAUUCCCUUCUAAGCAUCACUGCUGGUCUAGGAAGGUGUCUUUUUUUUUUUUACUUGCCCCCCCCCUGUUCGAAGCUCAAUCAAAGUUAUGUUUGAGUUUUUUCAUUAUUACUUGGGAUGGAGCAAUGCUUUUGAGCCCUCUUUAAACAUGCCCCACAAAACUAACUCGCCGGUACAUUCCAAAGUCAUGUCUGCUGAAGAGAGAAAUCAUGUGAGUUAAGAAAGAAAAUUGAGUAUCAGCAAAAUACUGCUGCUUCAGUUAAAAUCUAUGGCUUAAUCACAUGAGUGCUGAUAAAUGGUUUUGAGUAAAGUGUUUUGUUUAGUGAAAAUAUGCCCACAGGUUCGCAUCAUGCUUGUGGAAAGUAUAUGGAUUAUCGUAGGAUCAGAGAGGUGAUCUGUCAAUUAAGUGUUCUAAAUUCAUUUAUAUGCAGCAUGAAUAAAACAAAUUGGAAUCUAUUGUACUUCCCUUCUGAGUUAUACUUCGCUCAGGAUUCGCUCUUAGUGAGACUUUAAAUUGUUUUCAUCUUAACUUAAAAAAUAUUUAUAUAUUUGGAAGAGUGUUUUAAAGUAUUUGGGAUAUCAGUUUGCUAACAUUUUCAUCAAGAUCGGCAGACCUGAGGCCUGAAACUUGAUCUAUUAUGUAAAGUGCUAAAACUCAAUUUGUUACCUCAUUGGCUAUUGUUAAUGUAUUUUUAUAAGCUUUCAUCAUGACCUAACAAUAUCCUAAUACUGUUUUAGAUGAAAAAGUCUGUCUCAAUCAAGGUUAUACUAUUUACUAGAAAUUACUUGUUUUUAAAUAACACAGUUAAUUGAGGCCCAUUGGAGAAUUUCUGUUUUCUAGUUUCUAUUUUACUUGGUGUCAUAACACAAUGCUUAUAUUCUUAGGCAAGGCUGAAUUGAAGCACGUGACUUCUAGUGUGUUGAAAGAGUUCAAAUUAAGAAAGUUUGAAGAAAUCACCUUAUAAGGUAUUGAUUUAAAACAGUUUAUUUUCAGUGUUGUAUAAUGAGAAAAUUUAGUACUAACAGUUUUUAGGUAACCAUAGUUUACAAGACGGAGGAGUAGAAUUCUAGACUCAGAAGGCAUUUUGCAGAUGGCCGAGGCCCUCUAGGGGGCCCUCCUUUUUCCAUGGAGCCAUUAAUUAAAAAUAAAAGCUUAGCUACUUUAAUUUAUGUUGAGUUUGCUAAUAGGGUAAAAUGAGAUUGUUAGAACAAUCGAGGUAAUAAGAGUCAGUGUAAAGACGAGUAGGAAACCAAAAAAAAUCUGCUUGGAGAAAAAGCAUUUUUGAGCACCUGGUGUGUACAAACGCUGUAGUGCAAAUGUGCAUAGAAGUAGUUUUGUUCUCUGUCAGGUGUUCGUAACAUGGAGUUGUGGAGCACAGGUAACAUAGUAGAAGUAGUAGGGGCUCCUGGAAGUAGUGAUUUUUUUCUGUCUGGUGGAGGUUGGGAAAGGGUUCUGGGAGUCGUGGCAUUUGAGCUUGGCAUGAACACAUCGGAAUGAAGCAGAUGAACCAACUGGGAUUUUCUGCUGGGUGUUUCUCAGGUAUACAGUCCCAGGAGUAGAAGGGAGCCCAAGACUUUUAAGAUGUAAGUAGACCCCAGACCAGUGUGACUCGGUUGGUUUGGCAUCAUCCAGCAAAGCAAAGGGUGACUGGUUCAGUUCCCGCUCAGGGCACAUUCCUUAGUUAUGGAUUUGGUCCCUGGUGGGGUCGUAUACCAGAGGCAGCUGAUGGAUAUUUCUCUCUCACAUUGGUUUCUCUCCCUAUCUUUCUCCCUCCCUUCUGAAAAUAAAUAAAAUCUUUCAUAAAAGAUAAGAUUUUUGUGACUGUAAGUAACUAGAAGAUCGCCGGUACCAUUAACUGAAAUAAGCCCCAGACCAAAUUUCAAGAGUGGGAGGGAAGACAUCCUCCUCUCCUAAAACCUUAGCUCUUGCUUUGCUGAGUGAAGCGUGUACAGUUCCUGCACACCCUCAGCUGCACGCUUUUGCACGUCACUCUGACCCUUCUCCCUCCUCCUUCCCACUCUGCCCAGCUAACUUGGCUGCUCGUGAUUUUUUUACAGAACCCGGGCCAAGCGUACAGCUGUGUGCACAGCCACUGGGAUACGUGCUCUCCUGUCCCCAGUUAAACCUUUGGUGGUUUCGUUAAUGAGUGUGGUUUCAUUUCGUAGCACUACAGUGACCUUGUUUUUCUCUGUAACUCUAAUCCCAGCACACAGUUAAUACUCAGUAGAUUCCUGUUGGAUUAAUGAAAGAGGGUAAAGAAUGUUGAUUGUUGUGAAGAUAACCUAGGGGAGGACAUUAACCAGCAGUGACUUGGGCCUAGAUUUGGGGAAAAGGUUUGGGGCUCUCACGUGUUAGAAUUGGUGCUUUGGAGCCAGAAUCCAGAGAAGAGGAAAAGUGCUGAGGACUGAACUGUGGGACCCGUGACGUGGAGCCGAAGGAGGUCAGAGGGGAAAUCGGUACAACAUAAGCUACAGACAGAGAAACCCCCAGAGUGAAGGAGUGACCAAGGAGCUAAAAUACUGCAGGGAGGCCAAGAAAAAUGAGACAUAAUGAAAAGGUUGCAUUCAGUGAAUGGGCAGUCUCUGGGGCCCCUGAGACUAGUUUAAAUAGAGUGGUUAAGAUGAAAAUAUGUGUUUCUUUAAGAAAACAUUCACAUGUUUUCACAUGUCAUUUGUAAUGAUGUGCUGGACAAUUUAGUUUAUUUAGGUGUUUUCUAUUGACCUUUUACCCCGCAGUAACCAGAAGGCUAAGGAUUUCUUGUGGGCGUUUUUAGUUGAUUUAAAGCUGGUCAUUGGGUGAAACACAUUCUAAGUACCGGAUACUUAUGUGAAAGUGCACAGAAUAACAUUAGUGUUUCCCCAUGGUUUCAUGGGUUUCUCUAUUUGUCCUUGACUCAUAAUGAGCCUAAUAGCUGUAAGUUGUCACAGUGCCUAUGGUUACAGCCACAUUCCAUGAGAAAAAGUUAACACCUGUGGCCAAAGGGGCUUUUUCUUGAGAAGGGCUGAAACCUUUCCCAAACAAUUGAAUUUUCUAAUCAGGAAAUUAUCAAGGGGAAAUAAAAAGGUUAUCAAAGGAAAUAAAAAUGAUAAGACAUCUUCUUGAUUGAGUGAUGUCUGUCUGGGAUGUCCUAUAAAUGUUACGUCUGAGUAUUUCUUUACUUACUGUUCUUUUGUUCUUAGGUUUGCAAUUUAGGACGGGAUAGAUGGUGCGAUGAAGUUCCAUAGGUUUUCUGUCUGAGUUGGGCAUAAAUCAUGCCUUCCUUUUAUAUCUAGUUCUUUUAUAUUACGGCUCAUUUGUCUUCUUUAUUAUGGUCCUGUUUGUUUUCUACAUACACACAGGCUGUCUAGCCGUGUACUGUUGGGUGAAAUAUCAAUUUUGGUCAUAAACAGGCAUAUAUUUGUUUUAUAUUUAGAAAUAUGUAACAGCCAGACUUUUGAAGAAAACUAAGUGAUAUAUACAACUUAUCACAAUCUGUUUCUUUUCUAUUAUUGAAUAUUCUGUAAUUGCUUUGUUCAAGUUCUCAACUAGUCAUGUUUUAAAGCAUCCAGUCCAGGAACCUGCAUCCGGGAGAGGGCAUUUAAGAAAUACGUUGGACCUAUCCCUGUGAUAUGCCAUCUCAAAAUGACUGGGCCCCACACAUACACAUUCUGCAGACUGUUGUGUGUCUGUCUGUUGUUCCUCAUUGUGUAUGUGAGAGAGUGAUAUAAUUUAGCCCAAGUACGUAUGGAUAAUUAAAAAGUCCAUUUGGUUUAUGAAUUAGGUAAUAUGCAAAUUCAAUGCUGUGAAACAGGAACUAGAAAUAACAAUAACAUAAGAAAUGAGUUUAUUGCUCUCACAGGUAACCAUUUAGAAGUCGGCAUUCAGGGGAAGGUAGGAUGGCUUUGCUCCAUGAGGUCAUUCAAAGGUUUAGGCUCCUUCUUGGUUAUCGUUUUGCCUUCCUAGACCAUUGUCUUCAUUUGCAGUCAAGAUGGCUAACCGUCAAGUCUGCAGCCUAAGCAACAGAAAGGCAGAGAUGUACCUGCAUUUUAUUUAUUAUUAUUUUUUUAUUUUUUAGUGUUGUUCAGUUACAGUUGUCCCCAUUUUCCCCCGUUGCUCUCCCCUGCCUGUCCAGCCCCUGCUCCCAGAGACAGUCACCCCCCCAUGACCUGGAAGUUGCACAUACACCCUGGCAUCCCAUUGGCCAGAGGUUUCUUUUGAGGCCCAGCAACCUGCAGAAAGGCAGGGAAGUGACUCUUUAUUUUGAGCUGCACUGGACCCAGCUAAAAAUUCUCUUACUUUGAAAGAAGGUGAGAAUGAAUAUUGAGUUAUAGUUUCUGUCCUAGGGCACAAUAUACUUAGUGUAUCUAAAUUGCAAAAAUCCCAUUUAAUGUAUUUGCAUUAUUGUAGAUCAUUUAUUGAAUGUCCAUGCAAUAUUGCUCAAUAUUAAGUCAUCAUCAAAUGCUUUAUAAAUUAUUCAUACCUCCUUCAGUUGGAAAACUUGAUGAUCUCAAAUCCCAGAACUUUAAUCUCUGAGGAAUUUGGUUGUGUAGUAGACGGCAUUUAAUUACUGAUGGAAAUCCAUUUGUUUCUUAGCAGGUUGGGGUGGUCAGUAUCUGAUUACUUCUUGAAUAUUCUGUUUAUUCAUUCAUUUCAACUACUUAUUAAGCUUUCUUAAGUGGAGGUCCUGUUCCAGGCAGUGCGUGAGAUAUGAAAUGCACUGGACACAGACUCUGGCGUUAAGCUUUCUUUUUAUGGUUGUGCGUACCUCCCUGUGAAAAGCCGGCCUUGAUGAUAGUGGUUUUAUUUUGUGAAAAGCACCAGAGAAAUUGCCCAAAAGUCUCUUCCUCUCAUUUACUCAGUCUGCUCUGCAUUAUGUUCCCUGGUUGCUAAUGUGAGAAAAUUUUCUCAAAGGUUCGAAUUCUUUAUUUUCCUGGGAUUAUUUGUUGGCAUUGAAUUUUCUCAUGGGUGAGGAAGUUACCCCCAUUGUUGUCAGUUAGUCAUGUCAAGGAAUGAGGGGGAAAACUAUGUUUAUGUAAUUAAUGGUUUUUUCAAGAUUUGGAAGGUUCUUUUUUUAACGUAACAAAAUAUACUUUUAGCUAAUAAUUUAGCUAGGUAGUAACUUUUAACUAGUAAUUGAAGAAUUAAUCCUUUCUUAAGUGAUUGAGAUUUAAGUUUGCUGUUUAAUCAGACUCUAACUUCUGGACUUUGUAGAAUGAACGAUCUUAAGAAAUAAAAGGCCAGUUUUAAUACAAAGUAAUGGAAUACAUCAAUAACCAUUAAGGUAUACAGGCUAAGCCUCCCUUAGGUGCACUGUUUGGGUUUUAUUCUUAAAAUGCCAAACACAGCAAAACCUGGUAUGACCUUCACAUUGCUCCCAACCUAAAGUCACACACACACACACACAGAGCACACACACACAAAGCACUCAUCCAACCUUAAAUGUACUGCACUAUAAAACAGCAAAGAACACUGGCUCAUCUAGUUUUUUCUUUGUUUUGUGCAUUUUCUUUAAUGGGAUCUUUGGAACUUGUUCUUUUAACAGUCUUCUUUUGAAAUAGGUUGAUUGUUUUUUAUUACAUCGAAAGAGUGAAGACCAAUGUUGCUGUUACUAAAUGUCGUACAUACAACAGAAGAUGGAGCACCUUGCUUGGCUGUAAAAACAUUGGUGGCACAGUCAGCAUUUGUUCCUAACUCGUUUUUAUUGCAUGUCUGGCCUUUCAUGUCGUACUCUUCUUUCAACCUUGGUCUGCUCUCUGUUUAACAUAGAUAUAUGUGAAUAUUGAUUAUCAUGCAGACACCUCUUGAAUGAUAGAAUUGUAUCACUGAGGGAAAGAAGCAGGACUCAGUGGAGAAAGACAGGAAAGGAAGAAGUCUCUGUUCCCCUACACUUGGCAGGAGGACAGAUAAAAUUUAAAUAAAGAUGGAGAUAAAGCAUCACUAUUCUUUGCUCUUUAAAAAAAAUUAAGUCAAAGGGCUUAGGUUAGGGUACACGAAAAAGCUCUUAAAAUUUUUCUCAGGAUUGUGCUAUUAUUUAGGUGACAGGCAGCCUAACCUAUUAUAGGAAGAACAAUAGUCCGAGAGUCAGGAAACUUGGGUUUCAGGGUCAGCUCACCUACGGACUGCAGUGUCGGCUUUCUACGCGUGUCCUCUCACUGUGACCGUUUCUUAUUUGUAAAAUGCAGGGCUUGCACUAUGUGGUUUACUGAGAUUCCCCUCAGGUCUGUGAUUAUCCUUUUACUGGUCACUUUUAUCUUAAAAAUAGCACAGCAUAAAACAAAGGGUCAGUAUGUUGAAAGCCACAUUCUAUAGCAGCAGGAUGUGUGCACAUGUGUGUGUAACUAAUCUUACCUUAAGGCUACAGCCCCUUCUUGGUAGUUGAAACUCUUCAUGAACAAGAUGUAUGAUGUAGAGAGAUGUUAGGCUCUGGGCCCUGGGUUACACAGCAUGAAGCCUCUUUCUUUUGCAUUCUAGGAGCACUGACAUGUAAUCUCCGUGAACUGGCUCACAAGUGAAGUGGUUGGUGUGGCCAGCGCUACAGUAGCGUGUUCUCUAUGGGUGAGGGGCCAGGUGGCCAGCCUAGGUGGCAGUUCCCUAACCUGCUGGUUGUCAGUAUUUGUCCCAGUUGUAUAUUUUUCCUCCAGCCAUAUUCCCCUUGGAUCACGUGUCUGACCAUAUAGAUUUAGUUCACUUAAUUCAAGGUCGGUAUUUCCAGUCUCACUUAACCUUAUUUAGUCACUUUGGUUUUUACAAUUAGGUGAAUGGAUUUCCUUGGAGUGUCAUUGCUUCCCUUUUGGUAGUAGCAAUCAAUAUUGAUUUGAUGGGGAUAUUAAAUAACAGUAUGAGAAAAAUGAUAAGAUAAACAAGCCACUUUGCAAACUUUGAAAUUUAGAAGAUUUCUUUCAAACAUAUUGUAAUUUAGAAGGGAGAGAGGAUAUAAACACGAUUGUGGGCGCCGUUGUGGGAGAUGAAGCUGAUUAAUGAACCCUCCUCCACCUACAAAAUUUGAGUACUCUAGUUUUUAAAAAGAUAGAAUACUGAUCCUUUCCACUUCAUCCCUAAGAUAGGUUCUUCUUACUAACAGUUAUUUCUUUCAGCUAUGCUCUGUUAACUCUUUCAGGUAACUCAGUUACCUUUGGUAAGACAUGGUUUGGUUCAUGGAGUCAGGAGGUCAUACUCUGAAUCAUUCAGACCAUGAGUGUCUGCUGGGUUAUUGAUUGUGUGCUCGGAUCAAAGACAAACAGAGACAUAGUGGAAAACUGUUAGUAAAUAGGAGGCUAGUUUGGGAAAUUGUGAAGCAUAUAGCCUUUGUUAUUGAUUGGUUUUAUAUGAAAAGCUUCAAGGUCAGUAACCUCUGGUACCUAUUCCUUUGAUUGUCUGGCCCUUUGGGAAUUAAUUCUUUUCUAAAAUAGGCGCAUGCCUGGUCAUUCAUUCUAUGAAAUAGAUAUUUUCUUGAGAAACUUUUCUUUGUACUAAGUUCAAUCCAUGUAGUGAGACCCAAAAUGGUUCAUCAAAGGGGUAUUUAAAAUAACACAUAGAGUUUGAGCAGAAAAUAAGUUAGAGUGGUUAGUAACAUUUAAAACAUUAUGCAAAUAUACCAUGAAUUAUCACCUUCAUCCUUAUAGAUACUUAUGUUUCAAAGUUAUCUAGUUCAGAUUUUUUUUUAAUUUUAAAGCCUAUCUUUAUCACCCUGUGGUCACUUCCUAACAAAUCAUCCUUUUCAGCCAGCAAAUCUAGGUCAUUUGGAUUAAAAAAUAAGUGCAAUUUCAAAGAGUUUGUCUAGUAAAGACUUUAACUCAGGUUUCUCUACCUUGGCGCCGUGGACAUUCUAGACCAGGCAGUUCUUUGAUGUGUGGGUGUUAAAUGGUGUUUAGCAGCAUCCACUCCAUACCACUAGAUGCCCCAGUUCUGACAACCAAAAAUGUCGCCAAAGAUUGCCAGAAUCACCCACAGUGGAGAACCACUGCAUUAAAGAAACAAUUAUUAUCACCAUUUAACACCAAAAGUGUCGCAAUAAAGGACAAGUCUUCUUGGGGAAGGAUAUAGUGUGAGAAACAAACUGACCUAACAGAAUUUCAAUAUUCUCAUUUUUUGAGAUUGAGUUUACUUGUUUUCUUGAUGUGUUUGACGAAUCUACAUCAGAACAUAGAAGGCGAAGUGGAGUUCAGAUAUCUCACGUGUUCUGUCACUUACAGUCAUUGUAGAAAUUCUAAUUCACGUAGGCCUAUGGAGAUAUUCUAAGCAGACUGGAUAAACUGGCCAGGUGAAGUGGUGGUUUUGGCGUGGUUCCAAAGUGGCCCACAGAUUGAUCAUCGAGAUGUCGCAGUCAGGGCCUCUGACAUCAGGAAGUUUCCUGAGAAAGAUACCAAGGGACCAGUAGGAAGCUUGGUCACCAGCCAGGAGGAAACCCUGGCCUGUGUUGGAGAAUCCAAAGGACUGACUAAUUUGGUUCCCCCUCCGGGUCACUGAUAGGUGCUGAGCAUAAGCCCCAGAGGAGCGCGAUGCAUGAUGAUUCAUGCUGGAGACAUUGCUGCGCCUUCUAGUUCGGCGGGUCUGAAGAAUAGGGCAGAAAUGAUGACUCUUGCUUCUCUCCCACAGGCACUUCUAGUGGAAGUGAUCGCGGGGGCACAUUGUGGGUGGGGGAUCUAGGUUAUGAGUGACCUCAAUAAAAUAAUUCAGCUAUAACUGCUGCCCAGGGGCCAGUUACUCUAUGUAACCCCAGUUCUUUCCAGGAUAUUAAAUUGGUUCCCAGGCUUCAAGUAAAGGCUGGAAACUCUUGGCAUUCCAACAUUAUUGACUCAGUGAAUUUCAAUAGACAAGAUGCAUCUUCCAAAAGAGAAAGUGUUGUGUUGGCACUUACCCUUUGACGUGACUAGUUAGGAGCCCUAUAUGUUCUUAGGGUUUGUCAUAUCCCUUCCGCAGGUGGGGUAGGAAAAUAAAUGAGAACCACUGGGGGCCUGAACAUUUUUGAAAUGCAGAAGGGAAACCUUAACACUGUUCAUUGUAAGAUAUUUCUCAAAUAUUUGUUUUCUGCUAUAAAAGAAGUCUGCAAUUUAGAUGUAGAGUGUUACGUUUAUUUUUUUUAAAGAUGAGCAAAUUGAGCUAAAGAUUGCAGCGUCCCUAAGGUAAUGACAUAUAACAAAUUCAAGAUCUCAAAACUUCCAGGGCCCGUAACUAACCCUCUCAUAACAUGGUAACUUACAGAUUUUACUGGCCCCAAACCUAGCUAAUGUCAGCAUUGAACUAUGUAUAGCUUGGUAUGUGAAUCAUGAUUAAAAAUCCAUGUUUGACGGCUACAUGCCAUUGAAGUUAAAGAAGAACACAGUUUAAAUGGAUAUAAAGCCUAUUUUAUUGCCAAUCAGUUGUCAGUUAAGAAAUAAAUUCAGAUAAAAACUUAAGUGAUCUAGUUAUGAAAAAUGCAAUCCCUUGUUUUAUUUUCUUAUUGCAUACGUGUUUCUGUACUGGCUGUAUGCUGUAGAAUCUGUGGGAGUAGUUUGUCGUGUGUGCAUGGAGGCCUGCGGCAUUCGGACACGUUUUAGGAUCUGGUUCUCUUGUUCUACCCAACAUCUUAAUUGUUGGACUGGGGAUGAUGCUACUAAAAGCUAUGAAAUCAGACUUCUUUCCAAAGUACUGCUCUUGUUUUACAUAAUCUUUUUCCCUUUAAAGAUACUGUCAAUUUCCCCUUAGUUUUUUUUUAAAGGAAAGGGCAUAUUUUAAUUAUGCCUUCUUGGGGUUUGUGUAAAUCACUCCUCGGUCUUUUAUGAGGACUAACUUUAUAUAUACCAGGAGUCAUCAUUAAAAAGUUGAAGGAAUAUAUUGCGUAUUCCCUGUUCUUUUUCAGACUAAUUCUGUAGUAUUUUUAUAAAUCCUGCUCAUCCAGGAUUCUGAGGAAGAAGAGCCAUAUAAAUGCCUGCAGUAGAAAUGUUUCUGUCCCCAUAGCUGUGAAGUUUUAUGUGCUGUGUACAUUUAAAUCAUCACCUGCUGCUUGUGCCUCAUCUCUAUCUCGCCUUCCCUCCUCAGGCAGCGGAGAAUAUUUGUGCCACAUCUUUGAUUCGUAGGUUAUUAGAACAGGAUGGAACUUCAGAGCUUUUCAACCACAGCCUUCUCAGUUUGCAGGCGAAGGAAGCGAGGUCCAGAGAGAUUGAAUGACUUGCCCAAGGACGCACAUCGGAUGCCUAGUAUAAGAAGGAUUGUAACCCUGGACUCCUGGCUCCGGGUCAAGUGUUUUUUUACCAUGGAAAAUUCUCUCCAACAAAUGUAAUACAACUUUUCAAAAAAUCACAGUGUGAACCGGGAAGGGAGUGAACUUUAUUUGAGUAUACUUCAUUAGGGUGAAUUAGUGUUUGCGUAUAUAUGAGUGUAGGUAGUUAACUUUUUUCCUAUUGAAGUAUGUUUAAUUCAAUAUGCUAACUACAAGAAUGAGAGUGAUCUUACUCGGAUGAGGAUAAAUUUAGUUAUUCUCAUGACCCCGUUUUAGGACUAUUGCUACUUGAUAACAUCUUCACAACGUAAGGGAAAGGAAUACACUGUAUGAAGCCCUUAGCUUAAAUUCUUGGAUCACUUUAUAGUUUUUAAAAGUAUGUUUGAAGAAAGUUGAAAAUUAACUUUUAUCUGUAAAUGGCCCUUGAUUUCAAGAUAUCAACAGUUAUAAUCUCAGCUUUCAUGUAACCAAAUUCUAUGAUAUGGAACAAAUACCUGUGCACUUUCAAUUAAUUUUGUUUCAGUUCAUUUCUUUACCAGCAAUUAUUUUGGAAACCUUUUAAUGAAUAUGGUAAAUAUUUUCACAUUCACUGUAUUUGGUACCAACAGAAUAAAAAAAACUACUGAUAAUAUUAUUUAUAGUCUUCCUUCAUUAUAAAUCAGUUUCAGUAACCAAAAUCAAUAAUACAGCUGAUUGGAACUGAUUUUUAUCUUGGAGAGACAGAUGGAAUAAUCACAGCCACUCGGCAUCAAGAAGGUGCUGCAAGAACACCAUGCCACUGGCCAUAGCUGGUAGAGUUUUCUGGAAAGAGUGUUGUUCCAAGUUUUCCUGGGCCAUUGGGAUUCUCAGUGUGUAGCCCAUUUUCAUAUGACAGAGCCAAAAAAAAUUUUAAAACAGUAAAGGUAUCAGUUGGGCUUAUGGCAGACUUGUAUCCCUUCAUUUAUUCUUUAAGUGCUAUUUUCCUGAGUUCCCCCUGCUGUAUGUACCCACUAUUAAGUAACUAGUGAAAACAGGGAGCGCUUUCUAGGCAAAUCAAGUUUUGAUGAUUAUAAUCAGCUCUGGUGUAUGUAUUAUGUAUUUCAUCUGACUUGAAAUUUAUGCUGUGAUUUUUUUAUGAUCUUAAGACCAGUUUCAGUUGCAAUGUUAAGGAUUAUUAGGUAUUUAACAUUGCUCACUAUAUACUAAUAACCUAUUUUAUACUUUAUUUUCCUCCUAAUUUCCAUUUCAGUUUCUUGGAUAAGUAAUUUGAGGUCAUUACUCCCACCCCUUGCCACCUUGUCCACAAAUAAACCAGAUAAAUAAGGCCUCUAAGUAUUAAUUAAUUCUAAACCACAAGAUAAGGUUGAAGAUUUUCUAUAUUUAAUUUACAUUGAAUGUCUAAGUCUUGACUUAAAAAGGCAAAGGAAUAAUUUGCAUAUUCAUGUAAAACGUAAUAAUCUACUCUGCAAUUGCUCUUCUGCAAGGUUCCACCUACUGUCAUUCACUGUAAGAUUCUUGACGUGGAAAUGGGUCUCUCGUCUUGCACAGGGUCCACAGCCGUGACUGCAGGCCCACGUAUAUGGGACCGGAGAGCAAGGGUAUUGGUCUGUGGUAUUAUCCUCUGUGUUUCUAGUUAGGACAAGCUAAAAAAAACAAAACAAAACAUUUCAGGAAAUGAUUUUGCAGAGAUGGAUCAGCAUGCCCAGCCUAUGCUUGAAGUUUUUCAUUUCUUAAUUCUUUAGGCAUUUUUUCAGUCAGUCAAUUCCAAACACUUGGGAUUUCAGUUCUCCAUUUAAUAAAGUAAAACAAUAACAUCUUAUUCCACUAAAAUUAAGUCACCAUUCUGUGGUUUAUGGAAAAUAUAAUGGAUUCCCCUAAAGAGAGAGGGGAACCACUAGGUUUUGCUCUGUCUUCUCACUGGAAAACUAAGACACAGGCCAGUUUCAUUGCAGAGAGGUUUCAGGUUCACGAUAAUGGUGAGUUGACUUGUGGGCCUUGGGAAAUGGGAAUACGCCUUAGCUCGUCACCACGCACAUUCAUCGCCGGUUCCCCCUUAAGCACUUGGAGAAAUAGAAGGGGCACGCGGGUCGAAAUGGAAAGAGCAGAGAAAAACUGAAACAGCUGUACAGGUGGCUAAUUUUGGCUUCGAUAGGGUUUUCAUAAUGGCUCCAGUAGGAAGUCUUUGUAGCAUGAAGUCAUUAUUCUACUUUCAUGUAUUUGGAAUCCUUCUUAAGCAGUCAGGGAAAUGAGAAACCCUUUCAUGUUUCAGGUGGACUUUGGUAAACUAUUGUAUGCUUCAUUCUCCACAAUUUAGUUUCCUGGAUUCCAGAAAAGUUUAUUCUUGUAAUUCAAUCAGUUCUUUCUCUUCUGAAAACUCUGAAUCCCAAGAACUGCUAUUUCAGGCCAACAUAACACUUUACUCACGUUAAUACGUGCAUAGGUAUUAAAAUGGGUGAGAUUAAAUUCCCAAAUGUGUUGGGGUGUAUUUGUUUAUAAAUCACAGGUGUGGUCACGGUCAAGUCUCCAGAUGGCUUUUGGAGGAAUAUAAGUUAAUAGGGUUCUGUUAAGGAAACGCAUACAGGUGCAGAUGACUUUGAAAGGCAGGAAAAUUUACCACUGCCUUUAUCAUGGCUUGAUGAAAAUUAAGGUAUGUGUGGUCAGGAGGGCCACAUAAAUAGCGACAAGGGUCAUAUGACAAAGCUACGCAAGUCUGGGGUAUGUGUGUGGUUUAAAAUGGCAAGUAUAAUAUGGUAAGUUCUGGAAUACCUUGGGAAAAAGGUUUAGAUAUAAAAUCUUAAGUAGAAAGCCAACUACUAAGGUAUUCUAGAUACCAUGUAACUGGCAAGUGACUUAAACCAUUAAUAUAUAUGUCUUUGAACAGAACCACAUGUAAGACGAGGUAAUAUAUGAGUUGACUAAAGUGUUCUGACCAGAGGCUGUCAGGAUCCUCUGUUUCUCUCCUAGGAGCAGUUGUUACAUAUUUUCACUAACUUGGUGUUUAAAGUGACUUUAUGGAACAUAACUAUCAUGAGUAAUGGGAUUCAACCUUAAUUUUUUUUCUUUUUAAAAGAUUGAGUUCUAUGUGCAUUUGUGUAUUUCUUUUGGGGGGGGUAUUUUUAUUUUUUAAUCAUUUUUAAAAAUACAUUUUAUUGAUUAAGCCAUUACAGUUGUCUCAUUUCCCCCCUUUAUUCCUCUCCACCCUGCGCACCCCCUCCGCCACAUACCCCCUUUAAUUCAUGUCCAUGUGUCACAAGUGUUUUAGCUUCUGCAUUUCCCAUACUAUUCUUGCCCUCCCCCCUAUCUAUUUUCUACCUACCAUCUAUGCUACUUAUUCUCUGUACAUUCUCUCCCCUUCUCCUCCUCCCACUCCCCUGUUGCUAACCCUCCAUGUGAUCUCCAUUUCAGUGUUUUCGCUCCUGAUUUAGUUGUCUACUUAGUUUGCUUUUGUUUUAGGUGUGGUUGUUAAUAACUAUGAGUUUGCUGUCAUUUCACUGUUCAUAUUUUUUAUCUUCUUUUUUCCUAGGUAAGUUUCUUUAACAUUUCAUAUGAUAAGGGCUUGGUGAUGAUGAACUCCUUGAACUUGGCCUUAUCUGACAAGCACUUUAUCUGCCCUUCCAUUCUAAAUGAGAGCUUUGCUGGAUAGAACAAUCUUGGAUGUAGGUCCUUGCCUUUCAUGACUUGGAAUACUUCUUUCCAGCCCUUUCUUGCCUGUAAGGUCUUUUUAAUCAUUUUAUUGUUGUUCGAGUAUAGUAGUCUGCACUUACUCCCCACCACUUGUGCAUUUCUUCUUAAUGUUGUAUUAUGACCACUUUCCUGUGUCAUUAAAUAUUCCUCAAUAUCUUUUCAAUUAUAUGUAGCAGUACAAUAUACAAAUGGGCUUUCAAGUCCUUUUGGUCCUGGCUGCAUGGCUGGCUCAGUUGGUUGGAGCAUCAUCUGUACACCAAAAGGUUGCAGGUUUGAUCCCCAGUCAGGGCAAGUACAAGAAGCAGCCAAUUGAUGUUUCUUUCAUGUUAAUAUUCCUCUCUCUCUCCCACUUCCUCUCUCUAAAAUCAAUUUUUAAAAAAAAGCAAAACAAAAAAAAAAACAUAUCCUCGGGUGAGGAUUAGAAAAAAAAAUCCUUACAUAGAACACGUACUAG